AGCGAACGCUGGCGGCAGGCCUAACACAUGCAAGUCGAACGAACUCUUCGGAGUUAGUGGCGGACGGGUGAGUAACACGUGGGAACGUGCCUUUUGGUUCGGCAUAACUCAGGGAAACUUGUGCUAAUACCGAAUGUGCCCUUCGGGGGAAAGAUUUAUCGCCAUUAGAGCGGCCCGCGUCUGAUUAGCUAGUUGGUGAGGUAACGGCUCACCAAGGCGACGAUCAGUAGCUGGUCUGAGAGGAUGACCAGCCACACUGGGACUGAGACACGGCCCAGACUCCUACGGGAGGCAGCAGUGGGGAAUCUUGCGCAAUGGGCGAAAGCAUGACGCAGCCAUGCCGCGUGAAUGAUGAAGGUCUUAGGAUUGUAAAAUUCUUUCACCGGGGACGAUAAUGACGGUACCCGGAGAAGAAGCCCCGGCUAACUUCGUG
rnacentral:rRNA from 1 species